GCUUCAUCGUGCGUCCUCCAGCCCCGUGGGCAUGGCUUCAGAAAGCUCGCGGGCACUGCUGAGCCUUUUUCCUGCUUUUUAAGCUCGAGCUGAGGCUCGAGCCUUUGAAAAGGCAGCGCCGUCCCCGAGCUGGGACCGCAGGGCUUGGAAGAGGAGCUGUUUGCCUGGGCAGCCUCCCCAUUUGCAUUUCCUGGCCUCCGCCGGGCAGGAUUUGCAACCUUGUGGGGCUGGAGCAGCAAAAGGGGUCGGGGAUGGGGGGCAAGGAGGAGCCCCCCCAGCUUGGCUGCC